UGGCGUGGCUUAGUGGUUAUAGCAUUCGGUUCAUACCCGAAAGGUCGCAAGUUCAAAUCUUGCCGCCACC
rnacentral:tRNA from 1 species